AAUAAGUACAGUUUUAGAAUUGUUCAUGUCUAACGUUUGACCGCUCGUCUUAUUUGAAAAUUUUUUAUAAUUACUACUUUUAUUGUUAUUAGAUGAUAAAACAUGAAUAGCAUUUUAUGUGUGACUAAUUUUUUUAUAUAUAUUUUAUAAAAUUUUCAAAUAAAACAGAUGAUCAAAACGAUGAACACGGAUAUUUAUGGCUACACUUAUU
rfam:Oryza sativa (indica cultivar-group) chromosome 7, whole genome shotgun sequence.